rnacentral:rRNA from 1 species
GAUGAACGCUGGCGGCGUGCCUAACACAUGCAAGUCGAGCGAAGCGAUUUUGAGGAAGUUUUCGGAUGGAAUUGAAAUUGACUUAGCGGCGGACGGGUGAGUAACACGUGGGUAAUCUGCCUUAUACAGGGGGAUAACAGUUAGAAAUGACUGCUAAUACCGCAUAAGCGCACGGGAACGCAUGUUUCUGUGUGAAAAACUCCGGUAGUAUAAGAUGAGCCCGCGUCUGAGUAGCUGGUUGGUGGGGUAACGGCCUACCAAGGCGACGAUCAGUAGCCGGCCUGAGAGGGUGAACGGCCACAUUGGGACUGAGACACGGCCCAA